GGCGGUGUAGCUCAGUUGGUCAGAGCACACGGUUCAUACCCGUGGAGUCGCUGGUUCGAGUCCAGCCACCGCUACCA
rnacentral:tRNA from 1 species